rnacentral:rRNA from 1 species
AGGACGAACGCUGGCGGCGUGCUUAACACAUGCAAGUCGAGCGGAAAGGCCCUUCGGGGUACUCGAGCGGCGAACGGGUGAGUAACACGUGAGCAACCUGCCCUUAGCUUCGGGAUAGCUCCGGGAAACCGGAAUUAAUACCGAAUAUGACUUUGGCUGACAUCAGCAGAAGUGGAAAGUUUUUCGGCUAGGGAUGGACUCGCGGCCUAUCAGCUAGUUGGUGAGGUAACGGCCCACCAAGGCGACGACGGGUAGCCGGCCUGAGAGGGCGACCGGCCACACUGGGACUGAGACACGGCCCAGACUCCUACGGGAGGCAGCAGUGGGGAAUAUUGCGCAAUGGGCGAAAGCCUGACGCAGCGACGCCGCGUGGGGAUGAAUGCCUUCGGGUUGUAAACCCCUUUCAGCAGGGACGAAGCGAAAGUGACGGUACCUGCAGAAGAAGCGCCGGCUAACUACGUGCCAGCAGCCGC